GAUGAACGCUGGCGGCGUGCUUAACACAUGCAAGUCUUACGGAAAGGCCCACUCUUGCUUGGUUACUCGAGUGGCGAACUGGUUAGUAACACGUGGGUUAUCUGCCCUGCACUUCGGGAUAAACCUGGGAAACUGGGUCUAAUACCGGAUAUGACGAUGGUUUGUAUGCCAUUGUGUAAAGUUUUUUCGUUGUGGGAUGAGCUCGCUGCCUAUCAGCUUGUUGGUGGGGUACUGGCCUACCAAGGCGUCGAAGGGUAGCCGGCCUGAGAGGGUGUACGGCCACAUAGAGAGUGAGAGACGGACCAGACUCACACGGGAGGGAGGAGUGGGGAAUAUAGAACAAUGAGCGCAAGCAAGAUGCAGCGAGGAAGCGUGGGGGAUGAAGGAAGUCGGGUUGUAAAUACCUUUCGCUAAGGACGAAGCGAAUAAGUGACGGUACCUGGAGAAGAAGCAACGGCUAACUACGUG
rnacentral:rRNA from 1 species